rnacentral:rRNA from 1 species
GACGUAGGGCGCGAGCGUUGUCCGGAUUUAUUGGGCGUAAAGAGCUCGUAGGCGGCUUGUCGCGUCGACUGUGAAAUCCCGCGGCUCAACCGCGGGUCUGCAGUCGAUACGGGCAGGCUAGAGUUCGGUGAGGGGAGACUGGAAUUCCUGGUGUAGCGGUGAAAUGCGCAGAUAUCAGGAGGAACACCGAGUGGCGAAGGCAGGUCUCUGGGCCGAUACUGACGCUGAGGAGCGGAAAGCGUGGGGAGCGAACAGG